rnacentral:rRNA from 1 species
AUGGGACAUCGCAGAUUCUUGGAACCUAAUCACGAGUUUCGAUUUGAUGCUGAGUCAUUUGAUGGUUUUGAGGAACAUCGAGAGCCUCCCGUUCCCCUUUCAUCACAUGACAUUUCAAUAUUGACAAAGGACAUGAAAACUACGUAUGGGAAACUGCAGCAGAAGAGCAGCAGGAAGCGACACCAUAAUCAGGUAGAUGAGAAUGAUACAAACGUGCAGCAAGACACUUCAAUAUUCAAAAAGAGAAGUUGCUUCUUUCAGCUGCCAUACUGGGAAACACUUCGAUUGCCUCAUAAUCUGGAUCCUAUGCACAUAGAGAAGAAUGUGUUUGAGAAUAUUUCCCAUACCCUUCUGAAUGUUAGCAAAAGAUCAAAGGAUAAUCUGAAUGCACGUCUUGACCUACAACAAUUGAAUAUAUGCCAAGACCAACAUCCAGAUUUAACUGGGAGUAAACCAUACCUACCUCCUGCAUUAUACUACUUGGAUUCACACGGUGCUAAGAUGUUUUGCCAGGUUCUAAAGGAUGCUAGGUUUCCUAAGGGCUAUGCAUCCAACUUGCACAACAAAGUGGAUAUAGUCAGAAAGAGAUUAAAUGGACUAAAGAGCAAUGACUGUCAUAUUAUAAUGCGUGAUCUGUUGCCCUCAGCCAUUAGGAGAACUUUGCCUGAAGAUGUUUGUAUUCCAUUGAUGCGUUUGUGA